CACGAACGCUGGCGGCGUGCUUAACACAUGCAAGUCGAACGGAAAGGCCCUGCUUUUGUGGGGUGCUCGAGUGGCGAACGGGUGAGUAACACGUGAGUAACCUGCCCUUGACUUUGGGAUAACUUCAGGAAACUGGGGCUAAUACCGGAUAGGAGCUCCUGCUGCAUGGUGGGGGUUGGAAAGUUUCGGCGGUUGGGGAUGGACUCGCGGCUUAUCAGCUUGUUGGUGGGGUAGUGGCUUACCAAGGCUUUGACGGGUAGCCGGCCUGAGAGGGUGACCGGCCAAAUUGGGACUGAGAUACGGCCCAGACUCCUACGGGAGGCAGCAGUGGGGAAUAUUGCACAAUGGGCGGAAGCCUGAUGCAGCAACGCCGCGUGCGGGAUGACGGCCUUCGGGUUGUAAACCGCUUUCGCCUGUGACGAAGCGUGAGUGACGGUAAUGGGUAAAGAAGCACCGGCUAACUACGUG
rnacentral:rRNA from 1 species